GAGGUUAUAGCUCAGUGGUAGAGUGCAUGCUUAGCAUGCACAGGGUCCUGGGUUCAAUCCCCAGUACCUCCA
rnacentral:tRNA from 1 species